rnacentral:rRNA from 1 species
AUGCCUUGUGUGCAUGGCAUUGACCUUCUAUUUUAUGGUAAUGUUGUAUCUUUCGGGGUACAUUCAUUCCAUAUAGUUUACUUUGAAAAAAUUAGGGUGUUUAAAGCAGGCGAAAAGGCUUCGGAAUAUAUUAGCAUGGGAUAAUAGAAUACGAUCUAGGUCGUAAUUUGUUGGUUUCUACGGCUUAGGUAAUGAUUGACAGGGAUAGUUGGGGUCGCUCGUAUUGAGUUGUCAGAGGUGAAAUUCUAGGAUUAACUCAAGACGAACUAAUGCGAAAGCAUUCGGCAAGGAUGUUUUCAUUAAUCAAGAACGAAAGUUGGGGGAUCGAAGAUGAUCAGAUACCGUCGUAGUCUCAACUGUAAACUAUGUCGACCGAGGAUCCGGUAGCGUUACAUGGAUGACCUUCCGGGCACUCUGUGAGAAAUCAUAAGUAUUUGGAUUUCGGGGGGAGUAUGGUCGCAAGGCUGAAACUUAAAGGGAUUGACGGAAGGGCACCACCAGAAGUGGAAUCUGCGGCUUAAUUUGACCCAACACGGGAAAACUUACCAGGUCCGGACACAGUGAGGAUUGACUGAUUGAGAGCUCUUUCUUGAUUUUGUGGGUGGUGGUGCAUGGCCGUUUUUGGUUGGUGGAGUGAUUUGUCUGGUUAAUUCCGUUAACGAACGAGACCUUAACCUAUUAAAUAGCUGCGCGAACCCAGGUUCUUUAACCAUUCUCUCCUUCGGGGGGGCGUGGUAUCAUUAUUUUGCUUUUCACUUUCGGGUGGGAGGUAGGGUAGUGAUAGGGCCUGAGAUGAGUUGGUGAUUUGGCUUCUUAGAGGGACUACUUGCAUCCUUAGCAAGGGGAGGUUUGAGGCAAAAACAGGUCUGUGAUGCCCUUCGAUGUUCUGGGCUGCACGCGCGUUACACUGGCGCAUGCAAAGAGUUUAAAAUUACUGUCCCGAUGGGGUUGGUAAAUCUUUUUAAAGUGCGUCGUGAUGGGGAUAGAGCAUUGAAAUUAUUGCUCUUGAACGAGGAAUUCCUAGUAAUUGCAGGUCAUCAACCUGCAAUGAUUACGUCCCUGCCCUUUGUACACUCCGCCCGUCGCUCCUACCGAUGGUUGAACCGAUGAGGACUCGGGAUGAUCUUAUUAGAUCGGUCGGUCGAAAGAUCGAUAGACUAUUAGGUCAGAACUUGUUCAAAUCUUUUUAACUAGAGGAAGGAGAAGUCGUAACAAGGUUUCCGUAGGUGAACCUGCGGAAG